rnacentral:rRNA from 1 species
GAUCCUGGCUCAGAUUGAACGCUGGCGGCAUGCCUUACACAUGCAAGUCGAACGGCAGCACGGGGGCAACCCUGAUGGCGAGUGGCGAACGGGUGAGUAACAUAUCGGAACAUACCCUAGAGUGGGGGAUAACGUAGCGAAAGUUACGCUAAUACCGCAUACGAUCUAAGGAUGAAAGUGGGGGAUCUUCGGACCUCAUGCUCAUGGAGUGGCCGAUAUCUGAUUAGCUAGUUGGUGAGGUAAAGGCUCACCAAGGCGACGAUCAGUAGCUGGUUUGAGAGAACGACCAGCCACACUGGAACUGAGACACGGUCCAGACUCCUACGGGAGGCAGCAGUGGGGAAUUUUGGACAAUGGGGGCAACCCUGAUCCAGCAAUGCCGCGUGAGUGAAGAAGGCCUUCGGGUUGUAAAGCUCUUUUGUCAGGGAAGAAACGGUGAGUUCUAAUACAGCUUGCUAAUGACGGUACCUGAAGAAUAAGCACCGGCUAACUACGUG